rnacentral:rRNA from 1 species
UACGUAGGGAGCGAGCGUUAUCCGGAUUUAUUGGGUGUAAAGGGUGCGUAGGCUGAUUGGUUAGUCUAAAAUUUAAUGCAGAAGCUUAACUUCUGUCCGUUUUAGAAACUGCCUUUCUAGAGUAUGGUAGAGGCAAGUGGAAUUUCUAGUGUAGCGGUAGAAUGCGUAGAUAUUAGAAGGAACACCAGUGGCGAAGGCGACUUGCUGGGCCAUCACUGACGCUGAGGCACGAAAGCGUGGGGAGC